CAUGUAACACGUGCUUUGGCCAAACGGACACCUGCAAUUUUGCUCCAGGGACCUGCCAAGACAACAAGGCAACUGGUGGCUGCCUCUCCGUGGCAGAAGAUAUUACACUGGAUGGGACACAGAACACGUACUUCUACAAACAGUGUCUGAGUAGCUAUAAGAGUGACAUCCAAGUCCCCAUCUCUUUCACUGUUGGGAAUGGCAAGUAUGUGAGGAUCAACACCACAUGGUGCAACAACACAGAUAACUGUAACUCGGCUGUACUUGGAGUGCCCACGGGGAGCACCACCGAGAACGGGCUGCAGUGCCCAACCUGCUUCGCUCUGAACUUCACUGUCUGCAACAACUCAGUCACCCCUU